AACACAAAUAACUACAGUUUGAAUGUUCCACUUCAGAUGUUUAGUGCUUAUUGCUUGUCCAUUUCUGUCCCCAGAACAGUCCACAGGAGACUGAUCCUGUCCCGCCUGCCUCUCCUGCCAGCAGCAUUCAUGAGAACAGUCCACAGGAGACUGAUCCUGUCCCGCCUGCCUCUCCUGCCAGCAGCAUUCAUGAGAACAGUCCACAGGAGACUGAUCCUGUCCCGCCUGCCUCUCCUGCCAGCAGCAUUCAUGAGGUGAAUAAUUUAAAAAUUCAAUAUUUCUCUGUAACAUUUUGUAUACACAUCCUAAACACAUCCAUCCAUCCAUUCAAAAUUAGCAUCUCAGACUUAAAAUCCUUGGGUA
rnacentral:lncRNA from 1 species